rnacentral:rRNA from 1 species
CUAAUGUACCCUGGAGUUUGGGAUAGCUGACCGAAAGGUCAGGUAAUACCGGAUGACAUCCCCUUGUCGCAUGGCGAGGGUCUCAAAGGAGCAAUCCGCUCUGGGAGCAGGCGAUAUCGUAUCAGGUAGUUGGUGAGGUAACGGCUCACCAAGCCGACGACGCGUAGCUGGUCUGAGAGGACGGCCAGCCACAUCGGGACUGAGACACUGCCCGG